CCCAGACUCCUACGGGAGGCAGCAGUGGGGAAUAUUGCACAAUGGGGGGAACCCUGAUGCAGCGACGCCGCGUGGGUGAAGGAGCGUUUCGGCGCGUAAAGCCCUAUCGGCAGGGAAGAGGGAGGACGGUACCUGACUAAGAAGCCCCGGCUAACUACGUGCCAGCAGCCGCGGUAAUACGUAGGGGGCAAGCGUUAUCCGGAUUUACUGGGUGUAAAGGGGGCGCAGACGGCAGCGCAAGCCAGGAGUGAAAGCCCGGGGCCCAACCCCGGGACUGCUCUUGGAACUGCGCGGCUGGAGUGCAGGAGGGGCAGGCGGAAUUCCUGGUGUAGCGGUGAAAUGCGUAGAUAUCAGGAGGAACACCGGUGGCGAAGGCGGCCUGCUGGACUGCGACUGACGUUGAGGCCCGAAAGCGUGGGGAGCAAACAGGAUUAGAUACCCCCAUAA
rnacentral:rRNA from 1 species